UCACGGGAGCCUCCCGUCCCCAGGGCCGCUCCUGCCCGCUGCCCACCGGGAGGGCCAGCGUCCGGGCGCUGCCGAGGUCCCCGACCCCGCGGUGGGGAGCCAGGCCCUCCGCGGGCCCGACGGGAGUGGGCAAGGCGAGGGGCGGGAGCCGACCGCUGUUUGCUCGGCCUUUUCCCGGGGCUGGCGUUGUGGUGUUGGUUCUUUCUCUUUUGAGGUACUUCAGUGAAAAAGCAUCAAUUAGCUAGAGGACUGGUACCACAUACCCCCUGUAAUGAGAGAACGUUUUCGUAUGUAAGUGAACUGUAUCUCAGCUGGAAGCUUUUCAGCAGAAGUCUUACCUGUCAGAUCUCUGGAUUGCCACCAUCUUCUCCUUUCCUGUUAUUGUCAGUGUCACAGAGCAUGAAAACAAAAAUCCAUACUGAGGACUUCUCGCCACUGUCUUUCUGACUUACAGAGAAGGUGCCCUGUAUGUUUGGGAUGAUGUUUCCAGGGAGGAAGCAAUGAGUGAAUCAUGAGGAGCCCUGCAGCCUGCUCCCCUGCUGUUCCCUGCCUUUCACCAGAUGUUGGUGAGAACAUGAAACUCUUCAGUGAGACAUCUCAAAAUUUCUUCCCCGUUUGAAGGUAGAAGUGCUGCAGCUGCAUUACUGCAUCUCCACCUGUUGCACACUUACUUGGGUCAGACAGAAAGUGGGGGCGGGAUUAAAAAGUGUGAUAAGACACCUUAAGGAGGGUCAGCCUGGAGCAGUUACUGCUCACAGCCCAGAAUGGCAGGGAGUAGACAGCGCCUAGCGCCUCUGCAGCCUUGCCUGCAGCUGGAACUGUUGAUGGCCAAAACACCCCACAAAGAAAAGACCUCAAGACCUGUUGCUCUACAUCUU